rnacentral:rRNA from 1 species
AGCCCAACUCUAGCUCAGCCACACCCACAAACAACAAUAAUCCAUUACCUCCACUAAACUAAAACAUUCUCCAAACUUAGUAUAGGCGAUAGAAAAGAAACUCGGCGCGAUAGAGACUCUGUACCGUAAGGGAAAGAUGAAAUAAUAAUGAAAAACCAAGCAAUAAAAAGCAAAGAUAAACCCUUGUACCUUUUGCAUCAUGAUUUAGCAAGAACAAUCAAGCAAAGUGAACUUAAGCUUGCCAUCCCGAAACCCAAGCGAGCUACUUGCAAGCAGCUACUUAUGAGCGAACCCGUCCCUGUUGCAAAAGAGUGGGAUGACUUGCUAGUAGAGGUGAAAAGCCAACCGAGCUGGGUGAUAGCUGGUUGUCUGUGAAGCGAAUUUAAGUUCUCCCUUGACCCCCUCCCUCCCGGACACUAAACCCAACCACCGUGUAGCUAGUCAAGAGCAAUUUAAAGGAGGUACAGCUCCUUUAAAAAAGAAUACAAUCUCCUCCAGUGGAUAACCCCCUUCAACACAUGAACUGUAGGCCUUCAAGCAGCCAUCAACAAAGAGUGCGUCAAAGCUCCACAUACAAAAAUCCAACAAUAACAUGACUCCCUCCUCACUAACAGACUAACCUAUACAACAAUAGGAGAAUUAAUGCUAAAAUGAGUAACCAGGGAUCCACCCCUCUAGGCGCAAACUUACAUCCGCACAUUAUUAACAGACAACGGGCUGAUAUCUAAAUUCCAACAAGAUCAAGAUAUCGGACUUACCCUGUUACCCCAACCCAGGAGCGCCCGUUAGAAAGAUUAAAACCUGUAAAAGGAACUAGGCAAACCAAGGGCCCGACUGUUUACCAAAAACAUAGCCUUCAGCUAGCCAAGUAUUGAAGGUGAUGCCUGCCCAGUGACACAAUGUUUAACGGCCGCGGUAUCCUAACCGUGCGAAGGUAGCGCAAUCAAUUGUCCCAUAAAUCGAGACUUGUAUGAAUGGCUAAACGAGGUCCUAACUGUCUCUUACAGGUAAUCAGUGAAAUUGAUCUCCCCGUGCAAAAGCAGGGAUGCCCCCAUAAGACGAGAAGACCCUGUGGAACUUAAAAAUCAAUGGCCACCACACGCAAACUCUAACCUGCCAGGCUCACUAUCCCCAAACACUGGCCCACAUUUUUUGGUUGGGGCGACCUUGGAGAAAAACAAAGCCUCCAAAAACAAGACCACACCUCUUAACCAAGAGCAACCCCUCAACGUACUAAUAGUAGUCAGACCCAAUAUAAUUGACCAAUGGACCAAGCUACCCCAGGGAUAACAGCGCAAUCUCCUCCAAGAGCCCGCAUCGACGGGGAGGUUUACGACCUCGAUGUUGGAUCAGGACAUCCUAAUGGUGCAGCCGCUAUUAAGGGUUCGUUUGUUCAACGAUUAACAGUCCUACGUGAUCUGAGUUCAGACCGGAGCAAUCCAGGUCGGUUUCUAUCUAUGACAAACUUUCUCUAGUACGAAAGGACCGAGAAAGUAGGGCCCAUACUUCAAGCACGCCCUCUCCCCAAGUAAUGCAUCCAACUAAAUUACCAAGGGACCCACAUAAUUAUGUCCUAGAAAAGGAACU